GAAAAAAAGUCAAAAACAAAAACGAGAGAGAGAGAGAGAGAGAGAGAGAGAGAGAGAGAGAGAGAGGAAUGGCAGCAGUGGCAGCAAUAAUUCCUUCAAGCUCUACCCUGAAUCUGCAUUUUCAGGCAAAUCGGAAGAAGGGUUUGGGAUUGGACUCAACAAGACGAGGAAGAAGAUUGAAUUCUCUUGUUAGCAUCACUCGAUCUUGCCUCCUUCACCCCAAUGCUCCUCUCCUUGAAGCUGCAGCCAAGCACACUGUGGAUACAUUCAUUAAAAGUGGCAUGGUGGUUGGAUUAGGAUCUGGCCUUGCUUCAUGCAUGGCUAUACAAUAUUUGGGUCGGCAACUUCGUGUGGGUGCUAUAAAAGAUAUAGUAGGAAUAUCCACAUCUGUUGGUAGUGCCAGUGAAGCAGCGAAGGCAGGAAUUCCAUUGGAUCACUACCAAGAUACUUCUCAAAUUGAUUUUGCAUUCAACGAUGCUGAUAUUAUUGAAGAAAGAACACUUAUUUCUGUAAUUGGGCGUCAGAGAUUGCAAGGGGAGGAAUCUAUUAUUCAAGAGAAGAAUAUACUCAAUGCUGCUGAGAAACUCGUAUUCAUAGUCACAGAGAAACAAUACAAAAGUGGUCUAGAAGGUUCAAUUCCAGUUUUAAUUAAAUCUUUCAACUGGAUGGAAACUGCAGAAGAGAUUGAAGACCUAUUUUUAGGUGAUGUGGAGGUAUGGAGGAGACCAUCUAUAGGCCAUGCAGGUCCAACGGGAGGCGACUUCCCACUAAUCACUAGAGAAGGGCAUAAUGUUCUUGAUGUUAUAUUUACGUCGCCAAUACUAAACCUUGUUGAAGUAGCCAACACUCUUGACAAUAUUGAUGGGGUUGUAGACCAUGGAGUCAUUUCUAAGAUCCCAGGUCACGACUUGGAGUGAUGGCAAGUGCUAUCCACUCCCAGCGCUAUGAUGCAAGCCUGAGUCACGAAAAUCAGCUUGUCCUAAAAAAUGGUGGGAAUGUCGCCUACCUACUACGUCUCCUAGACCCUAUUGUAAGUGGAGCCUUGUACACUGACGUUUACUAUCCUCGGUGACAUGUUUUGGGACAUUGCCCCACCUUAUCAUAUGUCAUUGCCAUAUCAUUAGGAGCCUCCAUGUGCCUACCAUCGUUUGAAAGACGUAGACCUACAAUAUGAGGACAUGUGUGCCUCCAUUAUCACUCCCUCUAUUUGUUGAGCUAUGUUAUUCCCCAAGUGAAGAUUAAAGCAAAGAUACCUAUGGCCUAAAAGCUCCACUCUACGUACUUGAAGCUCAUAACGUUAUGCCCUUAGGGCAUUGAUGCCUGCCUAGAUCAGGAGCAAGGCCUACAAAUUUGAGCUGAGUAUGGAAUCAUUGUGCAGUAGCCUCCAUGCUACUUCCAUGACACACUCUUGUAAGAUAUUGCCCAUUGAUUAGAUCCUUCGGAUCAUAUGGCUCAGUGUUCUAAACCGAGGGUUCGCUUGGGCUUCUGAUGGUCCUACUCAUCUAAGUAUAACUUAAUUUUGUGUUUCUUGUCAGUUCUAUUCGAUAAUUUUCUCCUCCAUAGAUAGUCAAGUGAAUCAUCACGAUAGCUAAAGGUAGCUGCUUCAGAAUGGUGCACUGCAGUGAUUGCUUCUGAAGAUGGGCUGAGCAUUGUAGAGAAUCCGCCAAAGAAUGCAGAGAGCGGAAUUUAAUAGAAGCAGUCGGUAAUAGAGAUUAAUUAUUAUAUAUGCCUUUAGCUUCAUUACUACAAGUAACUUUUCUGGUGUGACUGGAAAACAUGAUUAUGGAAAGCAAAAGGAUGGUGAUUAAUUUUAGAUUCAUGCU